rnacentral:piRNA from 1 species
ACCCAAUGGUAAGAACAAAUUCAG